UCUUGCNUAUUCUAGUUAGGAUGGAGUGAAGGUGAAGAUCAAUGUAUUUUGAAUUUCUCUUAACUACAACACUAGAAUACAGGUGUUGCAUGGCUGUCUUUAGUUCGUGUUGUGAAAUGUUAGGUUCAUUCCGUGAACGAACGCAAUCCUUAUCUUUAAUUACAUUCAGUGAAUUCGAUAAAGAAGGGAUCCACAGUACAUUCUUGAAACCAUUUUCCAUUUCAAUUUUUAUAUGAAUAUAGAUAUAUAUAUAUAUAAAUAUAUAUAUAAAUAUAUAUAUAUUAUUAUUGUAUAUAUUAUAUUCAUAAUUCUUGAAUGAAUGAGAUUCACUUCUGAAUUCAUCAACUAUUAAAGAAGUAUCUUUUGAUAAAAAAGAAUAAUUAGGACGAAGACAAGUCCUCAUGACCCUUAUGGAGUGGGCUACAGACGUGCCACAAAGAUUUCUACAAAGGGAAGCAAAGAUCCAAGUCCGAGCAANUCCUAAAAGAAAU
rnacentral:rRNA from 1 species